ensembl:lncRNA
CAUAAGGGACACUAGACAUCCACCACCCUACUACCAUUAUCAUAUUAGAGCCAUAAGGGACACUAGGAAUCUACCACCCCACUACCAUUAUCAUAUUAGAGCCAUAAGGGACACUAGACAUCCACCACCCUACUACCACUAUCAUAUUAGAGCCAUAAGGGACACUAGGAAUCUACCACCCCACUACCACUAUCAGAUUAGAGCCAUAAGGGACACUAGGAAUCUACCACCCCACUACCACUAUCAGAUUAGAGCCAUAAGGGACCCUAGGAAUCUACCACGCCACUACCACUAUCAGAUUAGAGCCAUAAGGGACACUAGGAAUCUGCCACCCCACUACCACUAUCAGAUUAGAGCCAUAAGGGACACUAGGAAUCUACCACCCCACUACCACUAUCAGAUUAGAGCCAUAAGGGACACUAGACAUCCACCAACCUACUACCAUUAUCAUAUUAGAGCCAUAAUGGACAUUAGGAAUCCACAACAAAACUAUCACGAUCAGGUAAGAGCCAUAAUGGACCCUAGGAAUCUACCACCCCACUACCACUAUCAGAUUAGAGCAAUAAGGGACACUAGGAAUCUACCACCCCACUACCACUAUCAGAUUAGAGCCAUAAGGGACACUAGGAAUCUGCCACCCCACUACCACUAUCAGAUUAGAGCCAUAAGGGACACUAGGAAUCUACCACCCCACUACCACUAUCAGAUUAGAGCCAUAAGGGACACUAGGAAUCUGCCACCCUACUACCAUUAUCAUAUUAGAGCCAUAAGGG